GCGUCCGUAGUUCAGUUGGUUAGAGCACCACCUUGACAUGGUGGGGGUCGGUGGUUCGAGUCCACUCGGACGCACCA
rnacentral:tRNA from 1 species